UCUUCCCGUUUCUUCCUCUUCUUUUUAAUUUCUUGUUUCCGUCUUCCGUGAGUUGCGUCCAGCAUCCAUUUUAUUUUUCUUUCCGUAUUGCGUCCGUCUCUCAUGUUCUUCUUUCUUCCUUCUCUUCAAAUUUGUUUUGGAUGAAGACCCGAUCUUCUUCUGCUGCUCUACACUUCUCUUGAAAAGCAGAGAGCUUAUGUCGUAACACUUGGUUUUCCCCUUUUUAUUUCCUUCACCUCUGUACUCAGGUCCUGAAGUUGCUGCUAAUGCUGAAGCACUGAAGAGUACUCCGGGGAGAGGUGAUGCAACGUGUGGUUGGGCUGUGACGCACGGAAGGUCACGGCUGGUGGAGAAAGGAAGGCCAUGGUUUCUCUGCAAAACACCAAACCGAAGGCUCGGUCUGCAACCAGUAAACCGCCACCAACAGAGCCGUUUUUCGUGCUGCAACUCCACCAAACACAGUCUCGCUGAUACCUCAAUCACUCGGAGUUCUUCCCCCAGUCGUGCGCCACCGUCCCUCCGAGUUCCACGUCCAGUUUCUCAGCUGCCGGUUAAGACUUCCCCACCCCCGUUGUUUUUACACCAAGAAACAGAGGAGCUUUCCUCCAUCCGUGUGCUGCCAACCUGUCAACCCACGCCGCCAGCCGUCGUCGCACCACCCUCAGUCUGUCGCACGCCACCUCUGUCCCUCGCCCAGCUCAGCGGCAACUCUGCCACACUAUAGCUCUUCAGCCGCACCCCACGGUCCCGCCAACCAGCCCUGUCGCGCCGUACUCCUCCACGCUUGCCUCGGUCUCCUUGGAAUAAUUUUCAUGCAACAGCUGAGAAUCAGGAAUAAAGAGUACUUGCAUGAUUUGUGGAUCAUAAAAGACUAAGUGCCUUAGGGUACAAUGACUUUUGAAGGGUCUUUUGAUAGCGUUGAUAUUUUAUGUGACUUUGGUAUGUUGAGUAAUGAAUAUUUUUAGUCUUUGCGAAAAAGUUUAUGUAUAUCAACGAGACACCACUGAUGUGCCCUUAUGUUGGAACAUGGAUAUUUGUGUCGAAUAAAUAGG